GUUUACCUCUCUGUGAUUUUCGAAACUCUGAUUCUUGAUACUAUCUGUAGCAAUUCGAUACGAAUUUUGUGGGUUGAAUUAUAAUGAUGAAGUUAUCGACCUUCAGGGAAAAUUAAGGUUGUGAUGGCACAAUGGUUGAACUGGGUUUAUACUAGAGGAGUCUAGUUUCCACGUAAUUAGUUUCUCAUUUAGUAGUCUUCCAAAAUUCAUUUGUUAGUAGGAACGGGAAUGGAAGGGAAGGGCCAGUUAGAUCAUCCCCCGUGGUGAAGGUUGUUUGCAUUUCCCAGACCGAAUUACAUGGUGAUAAAUAAACCCUUUUGCUGUGAGUUCUCACCCCACUGGGUUUUAUUAUUUUUAAAAUUCAAUU